GGGCUAAUCAACAGAGAGCUCCAGCUACCCAUGGCUGCCAUUUUGCGGAAGUAAGAAGAAGUAACCGGACACCUGUGCUGCCUGCUGCCACAGUUCCCUCCCAGACAGGGCGGGGGGAGGCGGGGCCAGACCGGAUAGACCAGUGUGCCGCAUUCUUUUCCAACCUGGAGGCUUUUCUCAGGAACACAGAGAUCUUCUGUACACAUAUACACACAGGGGGAGAGGGGAAAGAACCAUGCCAGGAGGGCAACUCGGACAGUAGCUCUGACUCAGGUCUCUGUACCUACACAUACGGAAGGAGAGGAGAAGUGGAACCUUCCGGGCCAAAUUCAAAUAACUUGUUCCGUUGUUUUCCUGAGAAACUGAGAAUUUGUUUCUCCUGGAUUCCCAGGGAGAUUAUUCCGGGACAUGCUUCCUGCCUCUGAACAGUUUGACGUGACCGGGCACGUCAUUGGAAUUCUGCUCUACAAAACUGGAAGUUCUGAAACUCUGGAAAAUGUGUCUGUGACAUUUAAUGUAGAGUAGAGGCUGUUUGUGAUUGAAGAAAGUUGUCUAUACACAGCACAGCAAGGUUUUGUGUUGCCAAACGGGAUUACAGGAUAGCAGGGGUUAUAGCUGGAGCCCUCCUGGAGAGGGUAAGAAGAGCUAGGGGAUUUGUCCUCACAAAGGCCUUUUGUUCAUUGGAACCAGUAGAAGUGGAACACAGCUUGGCAGGUUACACAGCUGGAGGUGUAAAGAUGAGCCUUUUGUGACACUCUGAAUGGACACACUGUGCUGGGCUAGCCUUUCUACCUGGCUGGCUGACUAGAAGUUACAUUUUAGUAAUUUAGUAGACACUCUUAUCCAGAGUGACUUACAGGAGCAAUUAGGGUUAAAUACCUUGCUCAAGGGGCAAAUCAACUGAUUUUUCACCUAGUCGGCUCAGGGAAUCAAACCAGCAACCUUUUGGUUACUGGCCCAACGCUCUUAACGCUAGGCUACCUGCCGACCCAGAGUUCCCUGCCCGAAGUACAUGCUACAGUGCAGUUAAGGGCUCUGUGAAAAUGGACAGUGUAAGUAAUAGCUCUGAGGGUCAGGGGAAGCAGCAAUCCAAUUUGUUCCGCAAUAAGAUAUCCACUAUGUUUACACGUGGGGACAAGACUGAGCCUCAGAGGCUGGCGGGAGAGACUGCGGUGCUGACGGCUUUCAGGACCCUGUCUGAUGAAGAGAACGAUCUCACAGGGGUCAGUGAUCAAAGUGCCCUGGAUGUUAUCAGUGAUGUGAGGGGUAUGAGUGUGGUACUUCAUAAAAGAGAGGCCACCUUCCUUUAUACUGAGGACAGGAUAGAAUCAUGGGAGAAUGAGUCCAGUAGCUUUGUGACCUCUCCUAACGCAGGCCAGGUGUCUGUUUCCCCGGCCGACCCAGGUCUGGUCCAGGUUACAAUGGUGGAGAUCUGUAGCGACACAGAGAUGGAAGAUGAGGAGGGGAUCAGCAGCCUCAGCCAAUCGGACAAGCAUGACGCCCCUAGAAUUUCCUUCCCACCUGACGAUACAAUGGUGGAGAUCUGUAGCGACACAGAGAUGGAAGAUGAGGAGGGGAUCAGCAGCCUCAGCCAAUCGGACAAGCAUGACGCCCCUGGAAUGUCCUUCCCACCUGACGAUGACCAGUGGACUGUGGCAGUUUUCGAUGAUAACAAGGGUCAGCUACCACCCGUUGGCCCAGUGAGAGGUGCCAUUGAGACAGACUUAAAGCUGCCUGUGUUUAAGCCACAUAGUCUUGUGGAGGGAUCCCUCAAAAACACCUCUGUUCUGUACUCUGCGAGGUUUAUGGGCAGAUCUAACAGUGGGACAGAUCUUGGACUGCUCUCCUCUGUCUCCAAAACACAAGUGCCUGGAGACGGCUGCAGCACCGACCUCUACACUGAUCCCAGGCCUGUGGAGGUGGGUGUGGAUGCAGCAGCCAUGGGUUCAAAGGGGUCCAGCCAUCAUCACCACAAAGUAGCCAAAGGCGUCAGCACCAGCCAGGAGGUUUUGGGCCUUACUGACAUGUGUGCUGGAGACAACUCUGCAGUGGCUUCACCUCUUAACUUGUCUCUCACCUCUGAACCCCAGACAUCAGAGGAAGCAGCAGACGACACUGCCUUGCAGUCAGGACAGCCAGAAGACCAAGAUUCUGGACAGAGGAAGGAGAUUUUGGGGGAAAACACUGGAACUGAGGAGCAUAAAGAUCAUGUCCACUGCCUGGACUCCCCCUCCACCCUCUCUGAGUCAAAGCCACCUGAAGCAGCAGAGACAUCUUAUCCUAGCCUGGAGAAGCAGCCUGACACUGAAGUGAGAAAAGGUAUUUUAAGGACUGGUCUGUCCGUGUCGCGUGUUCCUGGAGAGUCCCCAACUGACAGCCAGCCAAGUGCCACUCCUGUCUCUGUCUCACCCAGGGGCCAAGGCGACAUGCCUGUCAAAAGGAGGCCCGACAAAGACUCACCCUCCGCCUCCCCCUCCAGUGGCACAGUCUCCUCCCAUGCCCCCUCCUUCCAGCUGCCUGCCCUGUUCAGUGGACUGCGGGUUCUGAAGAAAGGGGCUGUGGGGGAGGAAAGGGAGACAGUGUCUGAGAUCAAACAGAGAGAUGCUGACCUGGCCCUUCUGAGCCUGAAGAAGACCGUCAACAAAGCCAAUAACUUCCCUGAGCAGAUCACCUCCAGUAGCCGCACCCCCAAGAAACGUCCAGAGCCCAAACAUGUGUCUGAGACCAAGGGUAAUCUCCUGGGGCAGCUCAGCCAGCUGCUCAACCUUGACGGGACCAAGGCCGAGGACAAGCCGGACUCACUGCUAGAGCUCAGAGACAGGGAGCCUGAGAGGGGGGAGAAGGGGGCGACAGACAAGGGUCCAGAUCUGAUCCCCACCACCCCACCAGCAGACAGCAGGAAAGCCUCAGACACAACAUUAAACACUUUUAAUAGUCUCUUCAGCUCCAAACCUGCUAAAAGGGAUACAGCGGAUCCUGUGGAUUUAGAGGCUGUCAAGAAAAGAAAUAAAAGUGAGAAGGACCUGCUGAAAUCCAUCUUUGAGAGAACCUCCAAGUCUCCCAGCAGUGAGCAAAAAGCUCCAGCAGAGUCUAAAUCUGAGGUCACCUCCCCUACAGACAGUGAGGACCGGACCCCCGGGCGGCUCCAGGCCAUCUGGCCCCCGCCCAAGCCCAAGGAUGAGGAGGAGAAGGUGGGGCUCAGGUACACCGAGGCAGAGCACCAGGCUGCCCUCUUACAGCUGAAGAGAGAAUGCAAAGAGGAGGUGGAGAAAGUACAUGCAGACUUUGAGCUACAGAUCUUCCAGGUGCGAGGGGAGCAUGCUGUCGCCAUGUCCCAUCUGGAGGGAGUGAUCUGCAUGAUGCAGACAGACCGUCAACAGGCCUUCAGCCUGGGACACGAGAGGGGCGAGCUCCGUGAGGCCUGCGUGUCCACCGAGGACGACCUGCCUCCCAAAACUUUUCGGAAUGUCUGCAUCCAGACAGACAGGGAGACCUUCCUCAGGACGCCCGAGGGUGAGGCCAGUCGGCCCGGGCUCAGCCCCAGUCAGAACGUGCCUAAGAAACUCAACCUGGACUCCAUCAACCUGAGUCUGCAUGGAGGAGCCUCAGGGCUCCCCGGCCCACCUCCCCCGCCCCCUCCUCCCCUUCCUCCCCUCCCUGGCCAAUCAGGACCGCCUCCACCUCCUCCUCCACCUCCCCCUCCCCCAUUACCUGGCAACAUGGGGCCACCGCCUCCACCCCCCCUCCCAGGUUUUGGUCCCCCACCUCUCCCACCUCCCCCUCCCCCUCCUCCGGGGUUACCUGGAGCUGGCCCUCCUCUUCCUCCCCCUCCACCUGGGUGUGCCCCACCCCCUCCUCCUGGGGGUGGAUUAUUUGGGUUUGGGUUCAGCCAGGCAGCAGAGAAGGCCCCAAGGAAACCUGCGUUGGAACCUGCUACUCCCAUGAAGCCUCUAUACUGGACGAGGAUACAGAUCCAAGACAAUAAUAAUAAUACACUGUGGGGCUCUCUGGAGGAGCCAGACAUCGCAGACACCAAGGAGUUUGAGGACCUGUUCUCCAAGGCCACUCUGCAGCCAAAGAAGAAGCCCCUCUCAGACACCUUUGAGAAGAAGGCCAAGACUAAGAAGAUUAUCAAGCUGCUGGAUGGGAAGCGUUCCCAAGCAGUAGGCAUCCUCAUCUCAAGUCUACACCUUGAAAUGAAGGACAUUCAGAAAGCUGUUUUGAGUGUCGAUAACUCUGUGGUGGACUUGGAGACCAUCGAGGCUUUAUAUGAAAAUAGGGCCACGAAUGACGAGCUGGAGAAGAUAAAAACACACUAUGAGACGUCCAAGGAGGACGAGGUGAAGCUACUGGACAAGCCUGAACAGUUCUUGUAUGAACUCUCCCAGAUUCCAGACUUCUCUGGCCGGUCCCACUGCAUCAUAUUCCAGUCUGUCUUCCUUGACUGCAUAUCUUCCAUCCACCGCAAAGUAGAAAUAGUCUCCACCGUGAGCAAAGAUCUGCUGGACUGUAGAAGUGUGAAGGAUGUGAUGGGGCUGGUCCUAGCCUUUGGGAACUACAUGAAUGGAGGCAACAGGACACGGGGUCAGGCUGAUGGCUUUGGCCUGGAGAUCCUGCCCAAACUGAAGGACGUCAAGAGCAGGGACAAUCGUAUCAGUCUGGUGGAUUACGUAGUUGCAUACUAUCUGCGCAAUUUUGACGAGCACGCAGGAACAGACAAGAGUAUAUUCCCACUGCCUGAGCCACAGGAUUUAUUCUUGGCCGCUCAGGUCAAGUUUGAAGACCUCACAAAGGACAUGAGGAAGCUGGGGAGAGACCUGACUGGUGAGACACAGUGUGUGAAAAGGCUGUUCAGAAGGUGUGUGAUAGCUCCUCUGAGAAGGACCUCCAGCCCUUCAAGGAGAAAAUGGAGGCCUUCGUCUCGACCGCUCAAAAGGACCACACUGCUGAGGACGACAGGCUCAGUGCAGCACAGAAAAGCUUCCUGGACAUGGUGGGCUACUUUGGGCUCAAGCCAAAGUCUGGGGAGAAGGAGGUGGCCCCUGGUUACGUCUUCAUGCUCUGGUAUGAGUUCUGCAGCGACUUCAAGAACACGUGGAAGCGGGAGUGUAAGAACAUCUCCAAGGAGAGGCUGAAGGAAGCGCAGGAGAACAUGAAAAAGAUCACUGCUGAGAACAGGGUGGAAACCAAGAAGAUCAAUGCCAACAGUCUGAAAGAGAGACUGCGUCUGAAGGAAGCCAGCGUGUCCUCCAACUGAAGAGGAUGACCAAUGAAGGACAGAGUGGAGAGUGGAAGUGGAGAGAGAUGGCAGAUGGGGAACAUCUGCUGGCUUCACCACUUCUCGCCUUCACCACCUGCCUCUUACCCAACAUCAUACCUCAUAUAGCCCUCCGUGCCCCCACGCUGUGGACCUCUCUACUACGGCCCCAUUCUACCAUCCCUACUGACUGGACCAUCUCCACCACUCUCCAUGGGGCACCCCUCUUUCACCUCAACCUCGUCCCCAGAUGAGAGGCACCUUGUGUGGCUUCCAUCACUGUGUAUCCCUAGGACCACCAUCCAGACCAACACUUACACCAUGGGAAAUAGGAACCUGUCUGCCUGACACCCUGCUGUAGAUAUGCCGGCUGCUAAGUCUAUGUAGGCUGCUAAGUCUACACAGAGGGUCCAUGGCUGACUAAACAGCUUACAUGAUGAUAAUCACAGGGGUCAAAAGUCAACCUCAUUCAUCCAGACUGGUGUGACCUCUGAAUGGCCAGCCUGUAGAGCCUGCUCUGAGGGGUGCUGGAGGUCAGGAUAAUGAGCACUGCAGCUGACAUAUCUACAAUGCUGACCCCUGACCUCUAGGCUUCCUAGGCCUGCUGGAGCUGAGGACCUACAUUCGUUCCUCAGUCUGGGUUUCUUUAAGGACAGCAUCACACAUCCUGAUGACAUAAUCCAAUGCAUUGUAGCUAGGUUAUAAAAAUACAAUAAAUACAUAAAAAAUAAAGAGGAGGCCUCAUUGUUGUUGGGCUAUGUUAACAGAUAUGGCUACCAGGUGAUGUUCACUCAGAGAAACUAUUACGAUUGAAUGAGUAAGACAUUCAGGAGUUGUUAUUCUAACAAUGAUUCAGAAUAUGAAAGCAAUAUACAAUACUAUCAUGUAAAGAAUAGCUAUUCAUCUGCUGUGGCCCAUUUUUGAAGUGUGUCUUGUAAAUGCAUUUCAUAUGGUGUUUGUUUUCAUAUGAGCAGAGACAGAAACGUUUGACCCGAUGUUGUAUUACGAAGAGAAUCAGUAGUCUUUAUUGGACUGAGAGUCCUGUUGAAGGCAUAGCAAUGUGGGUCCUGGUCAGAAGGUGGAACCUGGAUGUAACGGUGUUAACUUCCUCACUGCACCAGACUGACCCCUCCUGGGUGACAGCCAGAGAAUGCCAGACCUUGGCAGCAAUGCCUUGCUCUCAUCCACCGAGUCAGACGUCACGCUCUGAGAUGAACAAACAACCCUGCUAUAAGCUACGCUGAGAAAAGCAACAGGUCUUCUGAGUAGGGCUGCCCUGACACAUUUUUUAAGUGUAUAUGAUAGAAUCGUUAGUUGUUCCCAAUGAAUGUCGUUGAUGACAUAUGUAUGUCACAAUUCUAAGCACUUUCCUUCUUGCAUCAGCUGUAUUUAGUAGCUAAACUACAUCCCUGUUAUUGUCAGAAUGGUACUUAAUCUGUAUUGCACUUUACACCUCAGUUUAAACUCCUAUGCAAUUCUAUGGCUUGCGUGCUAUGAUAACAUUUAUGAAUUAAUGUUGCAAUAAAAAUUGCAUCAUCCAUUUAGAGUUUUUAGAGGAAACUAGAUUAUAUUUAUUUAACAAAAUAUUUGUCAUUUAACUCUGGAAGAUUUAAACAUUGUCUUGGAAAACUAUAAAUGAUAGGAGAAACUAUAAAUGAUAUGAAAGAUGUAUUUUAUGCCAAAACAUUAGCUGUUUUCUCUUUGAGGCUGUAUUUUUGUGUUUUAUUUUAUUCCUACCCUUAGCUUGAGGAGGAUACACGAAUGGCUCAGUAGUCAGGUGAAAGAUGUGUUUAGUUUCAUAUGGAUGUGACAUAUUAUGUAGAGCCUUAUUCAUUUACCCCAAAUGAUCUUGUUUCAUACCUGAUCUAAACUGAUAGGGAGAGUAUAAUUUGGCUAAAUAUAUUGCCUUUUGAUUUAUUUAAAUCAAGAACAUUUGUACAUUGUUUAAAAAUAGAAACGAUUACUCAUAUCAAGCCAUGUGUAUACUUUACCCCUGUCAGAACCUAUUGAGUGUAAAAAAUAACAUCGUUGUUUCAUAAUCA